ACCUCAACUCUUCUGUUUCUUUAUUUUUUUAUCUCUCUGUAAACCUACGUUAUCAUCUCUUCCCCUUUCCACUUUUCCUUGGUUUCUCCUCAUUUUUAAAUACUUUCAUCGAAUCUUACAGUUGAGCAAAAUUUACAAUAGAAAAUUAUGGCCAUGAACCCUGUUAAGACCAGCGGAAAGUCUCCUGUUCACCCUGUAGUUUUACCUCUUCUUACUCUUUCUUGAUCAGAUUCUCAGAUGUUGCUUUUUUUUUUUGUUAUUGUGGAUUGAAUUUCGUUUUUGUUACCUUUAAAUACACUAUUUAUCUGCAAUGAUGUUGCAGAAAACUUUUGUGCUUUGGCUAAGAAUAUUGUUGACAAAGUUUAACCACUAAUCUUCGUUUGCAGGAACGGACACUUAAUCAGCAAAAGUUCGAGAUGCAGUUUUGGAGCAGCGACCAAACUCUGAAUCAAGCAAGGAAACUCCGCAUAGGACACAUCAAACACAUCUUACCUCAAUUUGAAUGUGCUCCGCUGCUAACUAUCUCACGUUCCUGAUUCUGUUUGUGAAUCUUCUGCCCCUUGCUCAUACUAUAUGGCUCAAUACUUUUCUAUGAAAGAAAAAAGACGCUUCUGCGGGUGUUAAGCCACCGACGCAGCAUGAUAUAAGCAAAGGAGUUCCAGCCAGAACCGUUGGUUGUGGUUUCCAAUCAGGUGAAACUUUGGACACAAAGAAGAGGACGAUUCAUGUAAGCGAUGCAACUGCAAUAAGUCAAAGAGUUUGAAGCUUUACUGUGAUUGUUUUGAAAACAUUAUUUUCUGCUGAUACAUAAGCACAUGAAGGCAUCAAGGACAUCAACGGCAAACUGCAACAUGAGAGGCGAUAUAGUGAAAGAAGUUCAGGUUCCAUUUCUUUCAAGAAAUCGAACCAAACCGCAACAUUAGAGGCGAUUAAUAUGAUAAAAUCGCAAAUUGUGAGAUGAGGCUGAUGGAUAAGGACUGUGAGAAUUUUGGAAUACAUGAGGAUGAGUACCAUACCAUUGUGGUGCGCUGCUUUGAGUGCAACAACAUUAUUCAUGUCAAUGGAAAAGUUGAUCCCACCUCUGACAUUCAUGUCAUCAUUCUAGAACUUAUUUUCUGAUUUUGGAUCAGAUUGGGAAAAGACUAGAUAGACUUAAGAAAGGCAAUGCUAAGGAUUCCCAAUCCAAAGUCAAGGAGGAAGCCGGAAAAUCUGCUCUAGAAAGAAUCCAGGCGGCCCUUCUUAUGGGAAACCUGCAGAGUCAGUUGCAUUGAGUGACCUCGAGAAGGAAGCCGUAAAGCAUCUUUGCUUGCGUACAAUGAAGCGUAUGGUCUACUUGGCAAAUUUUGCUAGCCGAUCUUGCUGAGCCGGAGAAAAAGAUUUGAACUCGCUAGGCGUCAGAGAAAGUGGCUAGGGAACCUCAUCAGGGCAACGUACAGUCUGCUAGGUUUUCAGGCGUACUUCACUUCAGGUGAAAAGGAAACAAGAGCAUGGACAGUACACGCAUUUGAGUUUCCAAUCAGUCUUCACAGCAUGGGGUUUCUGGGGGUUAUGAGGUUGCAUAUGAAGAUUUAUUCUCUGCUGGCUCUCUUCCUGCAGCAAAAGAGAAGACUUUCUGAGAUCUGAGGGUGAAGUGUACAUUGUUAAUGAAGGAUAUUUUAUUGUAUUCCGCUUCAACGUAUAACAGAACUCUGAGGAUUCCAUCAGUUUAUUCACAGAACAUCACAGGUUGUGUUUAUGCACGUCCUCUUUUAUGCAUUGAGGGUUUCAUUGCUCUUGGUUUCAAAGAAUGCAAUGAUAUCUUUCUUCCA